AGUUGGGUCUGGAAGAAAUAAAAAAGACUUUGAGAACGGUCGUCCUGAAGCCUUCGGGAAGGGGACAAAGAGUACAGACCGGGGUAGUUAUUGUUUCAAAAGUGGGAUAUGGCGCUACAAUCUGCUUUCUGUGUGGCGGACGUCCGCAGCUUCCGCGGGGGCAGAAGUUUCUUCAUGUUUAUUCCUUUAAACAAUACUUUUCUGAUACACAAGAAAAGCUGGGAGGAUGGCAAGUGGGAACCAGCAGCAAGCGAGGCUCCGGAUGGAAGCCACCACUGUGGUUUCAGGGGGAGAAAGGCUGUUUCCAGUCAGGGAAAUUGGAACGUUUAUGUGUGUCCCUCUUGCCUUUCAUUAAAGUGAAUAAGUCUGGACUUUUCUGACGUGACGCCACUGCAGUGGGGUUUGUGUUCCAUGCCAG
rnacentral:lncRNA from 1 species